AGCCUGACCCAGCAACGCCGCGUGCGCGAUGAAGGCCUUCGGGUCGUAAAGCGCUUUUCUGAGAGAUGAGAAAGGACAGUAUCUCAGGAAUAAGUCUCGGCUAACUACGUGCCAGCAGCCGCGGUAAAACGUAGGAGGCGAGCGUUAUCCGGAUUCACUGGGCGUAAAGCGCGUGCAGGCGGUUCGGUAAGUUGGGCGUGAAAUCUCCUGGCUUAACUAGGAGAGGUCGUUCAAUACUACCGGGCUUGAGAGUGGUANNNGAAGAUGGAAUUCCAGGUGUAGUGGUGAAAUGCGUAGAUAUCUGGAGGAACACCAGUGGCGAAAGCGAUCUUCUGGACCAUUUCUGACGCUCAGACGCGAAAGCUAGGG
rnacentral:rRNA from 1 species